UAAUACAUAAGUAACCUGGCAUCUACAGGGGGAUAACUGAUGGAAACGUCAGCUAAGACCGCAUAGGUGUAGAGAUCGCAUGAACUCUAUAUGAAAAGUGCUACGGGACUGGUAGAUGAUGGACUUAUGGCGCAUUAGCUUGUUGGUAGGGUAACGGCCUACCAAGGCGACGAUGCGUAGCCGACCUGAGAGGGUGACCGGCCACACUGGGACUGAGACACGGCCCAGACUCCUACGGGAGGCAGCAGUAGGGAAUUUUCGGCAAUGGGGGAAACCCUGACCGAGCAACGCCGCGUGAAGGAGGAAGUAAUUCGUUAUGUAAACUUCUGUCAUAGAGGAAGAACGGUGGAUAUAGGGAAUGAUAUCCAAGUGACGGUACUCUAUAAGAAAGCCACGGCUAACUACGUGCCAGCAGCCGCGGUAAUACGUAGGUGGCGAGCGUUAUCCGGAAUUAUUGGGCGUAAAGAGGGAGCAGGCGGCACUAAGGGUCUGUGGUGAAAGAUCGAAGCUUAACUUCGGUAAGCCAUGGAAACCGUAGAGCUAGAGUGUGUGAGAGGAUCGUGGAAUUCCAUGUGUAGCGGUGAAAUGCGUAGAUAUAUGGAGGAACACCAGUGGCGAAGGCGACGAUCUGGCGCAUAACUGACGCUCAGUCCCGAAAGCGUGGGGAGCAAAUAGGAUUAGAUACCCUAGUAGUCCACGCCGUAAACGAUGA
rnacentral:rRNA from 1 species